rnacentral:pre_miRNA from 1 species
GGCCUGCCCGACACUCUUUCCCUGUUGCACUACUGUGGGCCACUGGGAAGCAGUGCAAUGAUGAAAGGGCAUCGGUCAGG